rnacentral:rRNA from 1 species
CUGCUUCUAGUUGCUACUUCUAUUCUUCGGAGUAGAGGGGCUAAUUAGAAGGACUGCCGCCGCUAAGGGGAGUGAAGGAGGGGGUUACGGCAGGUCAGUAUGCCCCGAAACCCUCGGGCCACACGCGGGCUGCAAUGGUAAGUACAAUAGGUCUCGAUUCCGAAAGGAGGAGGCAAUCCCGUAAAACUUACCACAGUUAUGAUUGAGGGCUGAAACUCGUCCUCAUGAAUAUGGAAUCCCUAGUAAUCGCGUGUCAUCAUCGCGCGGUGAAUACGUCCCUGCUCCUU